rnacentral:misc_RNA from 1 species
GUGAAUCAUCGAAUCUUUGAACGCACAUUGCGCCCGCCAGCACUCUGGCGGGCAUGCCUGUCCGAGCGUCAUUUCAACCCUCGCGCCGUCCCUCCAGGGGGCUCGGCGCGGUGUUGGGGGACACGGCCCCGGCCGCCCCCGAAAUGCAGUGGCGACCCCGCCGCGGCCCCUCCAGCGCAGUAAGCACGCUCGCUACGGGAGGCCCGGUGGACGCGUCCGCCGUAAAACGCCCAACUCUUCAGAAGUUGACCUCGGAUCAGGUAGGGAUACCCGCUGAACUUAAGCAUAUCAAUAAGCGGA